GAUGCGGUUUGUAUAUGGCAGAAAGCACUUCUCACCAUGUGAUUCUGUGAUGCUUACUGCCUGAAAGGGUACCAGGUGGUGAUUUUCAAUGGAUCCUCAAAGCAGCAGUCAGAUAACUGACACUGACAGGCUGAUAGUACCUUUCUUCUAUCUGACUCAUGUAAUAUACCCACUGCUUCCAGAGAUACAUGAAGCAACCAUGGAAGAGAAGAUAAUACAUUUAGGUAGAGUAUUAUAAAGCGCACACACAUACUGUUUAUAAAUGAAAACAACUCUGGGGAGUGACACUUCCUGGAAGUCAGAAGGCAGCCUACACAAUCAAUCAUACUUCCUGUUUUUAUUACCCUGGGCAUCCUGUCAGCUCUGGGACCCCCUCUCAUGGUUCAAGUACUGCCUCCUCCCCCAUCCUCCCAGAGGCUAUGCCUGCCCAGACACCAUCUUUCCUCCUACUGAUGGCAAGGAGCUUUUCAUCUGACACUGUUCCAGUGUAAAGCUAAGAGUUAAACUAAGCUUGUUCUUGGAGUCUUUAUUCUGAACACUGAGGCACAGGGAAAGACCUGGAGCAUGAAUUGCACAAUAUGAUUAAUUUAGAGCACUUCUCGUUCAUUUCCUGUUGCAUUUUAGAGAAACUAACCUGAUGUCUUUCAGUUCUCAGGUGAGAAUCUCACCAGCUGGAUGCAUGAGCUCACCAUUGGCUUCAGGCAUUCAAGACACAGAUGAGUGCCGAGGAGGCAUUGCUAGAUUUGAGGUGCUUUUUGGCAACCAAUCCAAUAAGAUACUAGAAGUCUUCAAUAAUCUCUCCCUCCUCUCAUAUGCUCUAGAAUUAAGCUAUUUGCUUUGGCACCUUUGAGAUUUACUAUCCACAGCCUUUGGGUAGUGGCAGAUGCUAGCAUUCCUGUGGCUGGGUGUAGUUUCCACAGUUGGAGUGAAGAUUCAGGCUGGGUUUUGUUUCAUUCACAAAAAGAACUCCAUAAAGCCAAACUCCAUGCCAGGAGUACAUUGUGGGCAGCUACUGCUUGGACUUUACAGCAAGGAAAAGCUACCUGCUCACAUGGGGUUUAACUAAAGUUCUCUAGCUUGUUUCAUGUGUAAGCAUCCUCCAAGCUUGUAGGAACCUACAGUAAAAGUUGAAAGUGGAAUGAUGCAAAAGCUAUUACAAUUGUAGUCCCAAGGUACAUUCUCUCACCAUGCAGGUGAAAAAAGGCUGAGGAACAGGCUAAAAAAAGGACAGUCCCAGCAUGAACUAUAAACUGUCAGGCUCUACACUCAAGUAGCGUAAGAUUAUCUUUCCCUGGCUAUUUAUACACUGAACUGCUUCCUGUCUUGCCAUGCUCUCAAAAACCAUACUAUUUAAGAGAAACUACUAGACACUAGUCCCAGCUCCAGGAGACAACACAGCACAUUCCAGACCUCAGACCAAUGUAGCUUUCAUUCCCUGUUUUAGACGUCAGAACCCAUUUUCCGCCACCUACCACUGGUCAUGUGGGACACUUUUGCAAGCUUCUUCAUAACAUUAUCGAGACGUGACUGAGUGUUGUCUAACUCAUGAGAGAAGUCAUCCAACAUCCUGGGGACAAAGAAGAGGGGGAGCUGUGUCAGGAAAGUUACUAAAACCUGUCCGGAGCUGUUUCAUCACUGUCAAGAAUCCAUUUUGAGAGAGAGGUACAUCCAGGAUAAACUUAUCACUUAUUCUUGAACAGCAGCAGAUUGCUGUAGUUGCUGGCCCUUAAACAGGAGAAUGGAUGGAAUGGUGGGGUCACACAGUUCUGUGACUGCUGCAAUUGGACAGCUGGAGAGAAGGAACAAAUAUGAAGAAAAGUGCACUGAGAGCAGCUGGACCCACUUGGUCAGGAGAGAGAAGAGGACCAGGCACUGAAAGAAGAUUAACAGGUGGCAGAUAAUGUGUGAGCCUGGAACAGAAGGUCAGGGAAGGGGAAAAACAGAAGACAAGCAGUAAGCCAACAGAGAAUAAACACUGUCCCCAAAAAGGUUGAGUACAUUGCUGGUUCUCUCCAGUGACUAAGAAAUUAGUUCUGGCUAGGACUUCCAGGUUCAGGGGUGGCAAUCCUAGUGUUAUUUAACAUGGUAUGAGAGUUAAGUGAACUUGCAACCUUAUACCUAUAUUCCAGAUUGUCAAAUAACUUUUUCUAAUAAGGCAGCAUUCAAGAGAACUCACUUACAGCAUGAUGCUAAUAUCUCAGUGGUGACCUGCUACUGGUCACUGCUGUCAUAACUUACAUAGCAAGUUUUAUGGAGGACCAAAAAGCCCUUUACUUACAGGCAUGUGCUUUGACCACAUCCUUUACACCAACUCUUUCCUGACUCUUCUUAGAAUGAAGCUUUGCUAUGUUUACGUAGUCAAAUACAUAUUGCUAAACAUAGGAUUAGAAGCCAUGAAUGCUAGAAUUACAGUCCUAGAUCAGAGACUCACAACCCCUCCGGCUUCAGAUUCCUCCUCUGAGAAAUGGGGAUAUUUUUCUCCCUCCUAGGAGCAAUGCAAGACUGGAUGGUGUAUAAGCAGUUUGAGGCAAAAACCACUUAGUAACUUAUUACCUUGUGUGAAAGGUUUGGAAAGCAACCAGAGCAAACUGUGCCCGCAAGAAUAAGUGUUUUAACUGAUUACUAGCCACAAAAAGAUGACAGGCUGCAAAAUGGAUGCUUUUCUAGUUUAAGAUAGAUUUGUUUUUUGUAAACAAAGCUUCUAGUGGAAACAGGAUAACAAGAUGGAUGCUGGCAGUCAGGUGUUUAAACUGGCAUUUAUUUUGUUUAAUACCAAUGUACUCUACCUUAAGGUACAUGAGCCCCUUAGCCAAGUCAGUGUACUUUCAUCUAACAUGUAGCUUAAGUCAGCAGCUACUAUACUUGAACUAUAAGGAGUUAUCAACCAUCUUGAAGGAUUCUUGUGUCCACUUUAGCCAGCAGUCUGCUAUUGGUUCUCACCUUCCUGUUUUUUCUUUCAGACAGUGCCUGCACAGAUGAAUUUGACAUCUGAUCCUUCAUUUCCUGUUUAUUCAAGAAAAAGAUAUGAUCAAAUUUUAAAUUGCCAAUUUGCUAAAAUAAUGGCUUAAUUAAACAUACAUAGCAAGUUUUAUGGAGGACCAAAAACCCCUUUACUUACAGGCAUGUGCUUUAAAAAAUCCUGGAAGACUAAAGUAACAUUACAAUUCACAGUUGCCCUAAUGCUAAGGAAAAUUUUAAUGAAGCCUAGAAACCCUUGGGGCAGAAUAUUUUGAAAAGGUUAGUGAUUUACUACUGGCUUUGCUCCUCCCCAUUCUCCACUGCUGAAACAAUGCUUGAUUUGUGUAGCUGAUUGAAAAAAAUAUUCUCUCUUAAGUGGUGUGUAUGAAGGACUGUGUUCUAGCUGUUGGAAGUUAGAUCUCCUGCAUUUCCUCCCCCCUCCCCCCAAGUGCCACUUUGGACAAGCCACUUUUUGUGCUUGAAUUUCUCCUCUAUAAAAUGGGUAUCAUUCUUUAAGUCACUAUACAAGUACAUGGAAGUCGUCUUUAACCAAUGAGCACUUUGAGCUCCUUAGAUGAAAGCCACUAUGAUAGCAGAUGACUUUGAAGUCUAGAAGAUACAUUUGGAACAGUCUAUACUGAAAGUGAGACCCCCCUGCUACCACAAAUAUAUAAAAGUGAAGUAGUGGCCAAAUAUGAUAACUAAAGUGGAUGAUAAUCUCAAGACUGGCACAAAUGUCCGAUAUCACCAGAAUACCCAUUGCAUUCUUGCUCCAGACAGCGACUGAUAAAAGCCACAUAAGAUAUCCCAAAUAUACUGGGACCUCCCCAAAGAAUUACUUUUCACAAGGGAGCAUUCUAGUAAAUCUGUUAGAAAUGCUAACUAAAGCUGUAGAGUCAACUAUGUAAA